CCUACGGGGGGCAGCAGUGGGGAAUAUUGCGCAAUGGGCGAAAGCCUGACGCAGCGACGCCGCGUGAGGGAUGAAGGUCUUCGGAUCGUAAACCUCUGUCAGCAGGGAAGAACGGUCACUGUGCUAAUCAGCAGUGAAUUGACGGUACCUGCAAAGGAAGCACCGGCUAACUCCGUGCCAGCAGCCGCGGUAAUACGGAGGGUGCGAGCGUUAAUCGGAAUUACUGGGCGUAAAGCGAUCGUAGGCGGUAUGUCAAGUCAAGGGUGAAAUCCCCGCGCUCAACGUGGGAACUGCCUUUGAAACUGGCAAACUGGAGUGUGUGAGAGGAUAGUGGAAUUCCAGGUGUAGGAGUGAAAUGCGUAGAUAUCUGGAAGAACAUCAGUUGCGAAGGCGACUAUCUGGCACAUAACUGACGCUGAGGAGCGAAAGCGUGGGUAGCAAACAGGAUUAGAUACCCCAGUAGUC
rnacentral:rRNA from 1 species